AGUCCUGAGGUGAUAUAUCACAUUGAAUUUCAAAUUCAAAGGAGCAGCUUUCAAUCCUGUCAGGACAG
rnacentral:tRNA from 1 species